AUUGAACGCUGGCGGCAGGCUUAACACAUGCAAGUCGAGCGGAGAUGAGGUGCUUGCACCUUAUCUUAGCGGCGGACGGGUGAGUAAUGCUUAGGAAUCUGCCUAUUAGUGGGGGACAACAUUCCGAAAGGAAUGCUAAUACCGCAUACGCCCUACGGGGGAAAGCAGGGGAUCUUCGGACCUUGCGCUAAUAGAUGAGCCUAGGUCGGAUUAGCUAGUUGGGGGGGUAAAGGCCUACCAAGGCGACGAUCUGGAGCGGGUCUGAGAGGAUGAUGCGCCACACUGGGACUGAGAAACGGCCCAGCCUCCUGAGGGAGGCAGCAGUGGGGAAUAUUGGCAAAUGGGGGGAAGCCUGAUCCAGCCAUGCCGCGUGUGUGAAGAAGGCCUUUUGGUUGUAAAGCACUUUAAGCGAGGAGGAGGCUACCUGGAUUAAUACUCUAGGAUAGUGGACGUUACUCGCAGAAUAAGCACCGGCUAACUCUGUGCCAGCAGCCGCCGUAAUAC
rnacentral:rRNA from 1 species